rnacentral:rRNA from 1 species
UACGGAGGAUGCGAGCGUUAUCCGGAUUUAUUGGGUUUAAAGGGUGCGUAGGCGGCUUUUUAAGUCAGCGGUGAAAUUUUGCAGCUUAACUGUAACAGUGCCGUUGAUACUGGGGAGCUAGGAUUUGGUUGCUGUGGGUGGAAUGUGUGGUGUAGCGGUGAAAUGCUUAGAGAUCACACAGAAUAUCGAUUGCGAAGGCAGCUCACAAAGCCAAGAUUGACGCUGAGGCACGAAAGCGUGGGGAUCAAACAGGAUUAGA